rnacentral:rRNA from 1 species
UACGGAGGGAGCUAGCGUUGUUCGGAAUUACUGGGCGUAAAGCGCGCGUAGGCGGCUUUGUAAGUUAGAGGUGAAAGCCCGGAGCUCAACUCCGGAACUGCCUUUAAAACUGCAUCGCUUGAAUCCAGGAGAGGUGAGUGGAAUUCCGAGUGUAGAGGUGAAAUUCGUAGAUAUUCGGAAGAACACCAGUGGCGAAGGCGGCGAUCUGGGUCGAUACUGACGCUGAGGUGCGAAAAGCGUGGGGAGCAAACAGG